rnacentral:rRNA from 1 species
UACGUAGGGUGCAAGCGUUAAUCGGAAUUACUGGGCGUAAAGCGUGCGCAGGCGGCUUUGCAAGACAGAUGUGAAAUCCCCGGGCUCAACCUGGGAACGGCAUUUGUGACUGCAUGGCUAGAGUACGGUAGAGGGGGAUGGAAUUCCGCGUGUAGCAGUGAAAUGCGUAGAUAUGCGGAGGAACACCGAUGGCGAAGGCAAUCCCCUGGACCUGUACUGACGCUCAUGCACGAAAGCGUGGGGAGCAAACAGG